rnacentral:piRNA from 1 species
UACUUAGCCAUGGGGGUUGGCCCUAAGGAC